CCCAGCUUUGACAUUCUCUGUUCUAAGUUCCCUCCCAGCUCUGACAUUCUCUGUUCUAAGGUCUCUCCCAGCUCUGACAGUCUCUGUUCUAAGCUCUCUCCCACCUCUGACAUUCUCUGUUUUAAGGUCUCUCCCAGCUCUGACAUUCUCUGUUCUAAGGUCUCUCCCAGCUCUGACAUUCUCUGUUCUAAGCUCUCUCCCAGCUCUGACAUUCUCUGUUCUAAGGUCUCUCCCAGCUCUGACAUUCUCUGUUCUAAGCUCUCUCCCAGCUCUGACAUUCUCUGUUCUAAGGUCUCUCCCAGCUCUGACAUUCUCUGUUCUAAGCUCUCUCCCAGCUCUGACAUUCUCUGUUCUAAGCUCUCUCCCAGCUCUGACAUUCUCUGUUCUAAGGUCUCUCCAGCUCUGACAUUCUCUGUUCUAAGGUCUCUCCAGCUCUGACAUUCUCUGUUCUAAGGUCUCUCCAGCUCUGACAUUCUCUGUUCUAAGGUCUCUCCAGCUCUGACAUUCUCUGUUCUAAGGUCUCUCCCAGCCCUGACAUUCUCUGUUCUAAGGUCUCUCCCAGCUCUGACAUUCUCUGUUCUAAGCUCUCUCCCAGCUCUGACAUUGUCUGUUCUAAGGUCCCUCCCAGCUCUGACAUUCUCUGUUCUAAGCUCCCUCCCAGCUCUGACAUUCUGGGAUCUAAGAGCCCUCCUCUAAUGUUCUAUAUUCUACCAUUCUAUGUUCCGAGAAGAAGGUUCGUGCAGUAGAAAACCCCAUUUAGAAAGUGAAGGGGUAAAUCCAAAGGUGUACCCCUUGACCUACCCUUUCUGGAUCCAUGGAAUCCCUGGCCGCUCUGCCAACUCUAGUAGCCCAUGCUCCCAGAUGAGUUUGACCCAGCCGCAAGAAAACAUCAUAAUGUUUUUAAUAAAACCUCAG
rnacentral:lncRNA from 1 species